UGACAUAUUUUGAGAAGCAUUACUUGCUGCAGUUAUUUAUUCUUCAGAAUAUGGUAGUUGUCCUUCUUAAAUAGCAGUCAUAAUCAGAACGCUGAAAUCAUAAUCUAUUACAUUUUUGUUUGUGAAGUUCAUGAUGCCGUGUUGAUUAAUUUAGCUGCCUGCCACAUGCUUCUAAGUUCUAACCACCACCUUGACUGCAGGAUGAAAGUAACCCCAUUGGGAGCUCACAAGCUGCCAGAUUUGCUUUGGAAAAUCAUGAUCUGGGUUGUAGAUUGUAGCACUCAAUCUGAGGGUUUGGCUGUAUCGUAUUUGUGACACAUCCCAACAAAACCAUGGAUUUGGGACCCACCACUGGAAUCUCAACCUUUGGUGGGGUCCUCAGAGGAAUCUUCAGGAAUGCCAAGUUUGAAUCUGAUGGAAUCUCAGAAGAAGUUGACAGAAUCUAGCCAUUGAUGGUCUCACAGAGAUGUGAUUUUUGUGCUGAAAGCAAGUGUUCAGCAGGAAGCAGGGAAGGAAAGCUUGCUCAACAUGCACUUAGAACAGGUGAUGCCUGAGACUGCAAGUGGCAGUCACUGCAGCCCAGAAAGGAGUGGAAGAGGAUUAAAGUCUCUCGAGGUUCUGUCAGUGUGUGUCUGUCUCCGUAGAAUGUGAAGUCUCGGCAACUUGGAAAGGUCUUCUUUGAUGGAGUAGGCAAAAACCUUUUCUUUGGUUGGUGCUUAAUCUAUUGUGUCAUGGCUCAGCAUUGACUGUGUGAGGCCAUGAGAGAUUCAACUGCUCAACUUGAGAGUUGUGAUGCCACCUACCUGCCGGCCUACCAAGAGAAGCUUGAACAGGGCCAGUGGCCCACCAUACUGCUGAUCUCCCAACCCCCCCUAAAUUGUACAUCAAACGGCAGUGUACCAAUUAUUUCCUAUAAUUUUACU